rnacentral:rRNA from 1 species
UAUGGAGAGUUUGAUCCUGGCUCAGAGUGAACGCUGGCGGCGUGCCUAAUACAUGCAAGUCGAACGGAGAUUAAGUAGCUUGCUAUUUAAUCUUAGUGGCGCACGGGUGAGUAAUAUAUAGCUAACUUGCCCAUUACUAAGGGACAACAGUUGGAAACGACUGCUAAUACCUUAUACUCCGUAUCUAUAUAAGUAGGUACGGGAAAGUUUUUCGGUAAUGGAUAGGGCUAUAUCGUAUCAGCUAGUUGGUAAGGUAACGGCUUACCAAGGCUAUGACGCGUAACUGGUCUGAGAGGAUGAUCAGUCACACUGGAACUGAGACACGGUCCAGACUCCUACGGGAGGCAGCAGUAGGGAAUAUUGCUCAAUGGGGGAAACCCUGAAGCAGCAACGCCGCGUGGAGGAUGACACUUUUCGGAGCGUAAACUCCUUUUCUUGGGAAAGAAUUAUGACGGUACCCAAGGAAUAAGCACCGGCUAACUCCGUGCCAGCAGCCGCGGUAAUACGGAGGGUGCAAGCGUUACUCGGAAUCACUGGGCGUAAAGGACGCGUAGGCGGAUUAUCAAGUCUCUUGUGAAAUCUAACGGCUUAACCGUUAAACUGCUUGGGAAACUGAUAAUCUAGAGUAAGGGAGAGGCAGAUGGAAUUCUUGGUGUAGGGGUAAAAUCCGUAGAGAUCAAGAAGAAUACCCAUUGCGAAAGCGAUCUGCUGGAACUUAACUGACGCUAAUGCGUGAAAGCGUGGGGAGCAAACAGGAUUAGAUACCCUGGUAGUCCACGCCCUAAACGAUGUAUACUAGUUGUUGCUUCGCUAGUCGAGGCAGUAAUGCACCUAACGGAUUAAGUAUACCGCCUGGGGAGUACGGUCGCAAGAUUAAAACUCAAAGGAAUAGACGGGGACCCGCACAAGCGGUGGAGCAUGUGGUUUAAUUCGAAGAUACGCGAAGAACCUUACCCGGACUUGAUAUCUAACAAAUCAUCCAGAGAUGGAAGAGUGUCUGCUUGCAGAAAUGUUAAGACAGGUGCUGCACGGCUGUCGUCAGCUCGUGUCGUGAGAUGUUGGGUUAAGUCCCGCAACGAGCGCAACCCACGUCAUUAGUUGCUAACGGUUCGGCCGAGCACUCUAAUGAGACUGCCUUCGCAAGGAGGAGGAAGGUGUGGACGACGUCAAGUCAUCAUGGCCCUUAUGUCCGGGGCGACACACGUGCUACAAUGGCGUAUACAAUGAGACGCAAUAUCGCGAGAUGGAGCAAAUCUAUAAAAUACGUCCCAGUUCGGAUUGGAGUCUGCAACUCGACUCCAUGAAGCCGGAAUCGCUAGUAAUCGUAGAUCAGCCAUGCUACGGUGAAUACGUUCCCGGGUCUUGUACUCACCGCCCGUCACACCAUGGGAGUUGAUUUCACUCGAAGCCCAAAUACCAAACCGGUUAUGGUCCACAGUGGAAUCAGCGACUGGGGUGAAGUCGUAACAAGGUAACCGUAGGAGAACCUGCGGUUGGAUCACCUCCUUUCUA